UAGUCGUACUCCGAAUGCAUCCCCACUUAGAUUAAGAUCAUGGCUCAGAAUGAACGCCCUGGGUGGNUANGGAUUAGGCAUGCAAGUCGUGCGAGAAGGUGGCUUCGGCCACCGGACAGCGGCGAACGGGGUAGUAAGGCGUCGGAACGUGCCCACAGGUCUGGGAUAGCGGCGGGAAACUGCCGGUAAUACCGGAUGACCUCUUUGGAGCAAAGGUGUGACUCCGCCUGUGGAGCGGCCGACGUGAUACCAGCUAGUUGGUGAGGUAAUGGCUCACAAGGCUCAGACGUCUAGGGGGUGUGAGAGCAUGGCCCCCAGCACUGGGACUGAGACACUGCCCAGACACCUACGGGUGGCUGCAGUCGAGAAUCUUCGGCAAUGGGCGCAAGCCUGACCGAGCGACGCCACGUGCGGGAUGACGGGCCUCGGGUUGUAAACCGCUGUCGAGGGGGAUGAAGUCACAAGGGGUACUCCCACUUGUGUUGACAGAGCCCUGGAGGAAGCGCGGGCUAAGUACGUGCCAGCAGCCGCGGUAAGACGUACUGCGCGAACGUUCAGUUCGCGAAUCACUGGGCUUAAANNG
rnacentral:rRNA from 1 species